rnacentral:lncRNA from 15 species
UUUGUAGAUGGAAAGCAGAGUCUUUGUGAGACAGAGGGUUCACGUGGUGUAUUGACUCAAAUAAGGAUCAAUAAGAUUUUGAGUUUGGCAAUUAUUUUGACAAAACUGCAUGAGAAAUUAACAAAAAACAUUGUUUUUCAUAAAAGUCUUAUCAUACUUUUUGGAGCUUAUACACUGUGCAGAAAUAGGGCAUCCAGUUCUUAAAGUGUGGUUUAUUUGUGUGGUCAGAGCAGGACUGUGCUGUAGUUAAUUAAAAUGUGUUAUGUUAUUUGAUGUGCACAGUGCAGGAUAUGUGACUUCAAAUCAAGCUGCAUCUAUAUUUGAGGCACAAAUUACAUGCAUUUAAAGGGUCAGUUUACCCAAAUAAAAAAACCCCACAUAUACACAUUUUUGAGUGGUAACCAGCAAAUAUUGAUGGUUUUAUUAGUUUUUAUGGUUUAUCUGGAAGGAUGAGUUGCUGUUAAAUGAUAUUUUUCAAUGUUCUGAGCGUCACAAACAAACUUCCAUUAAUCUCUAAUGUAUUGAGUAGGAAGCAGAAUCUUAAGAUAUCUCAGAACUUAUAAAUAUACAGUCUGUAUGUAGCCCAAAAAUAGGUGUGUCGUUUCGUACAGCUUUCUUCAAAGUCACAUCCUGGACUUUCAGAUAAUACAUCCUUGAACCUUGAAAAGGUUAUGAAACAAUCUCUUAAUGUGUACUUUGGGAUUACGGCAUUGUUUGAUUAAGGUGGAACAGAGGAGUCAGAUAUUUGUUGCUGCUGAUUUAACUUAUUUUCCUUCUGUAUGACAAAAAAAAGGUCCAAAAGCUUCUUUACAAUUCUUGAUUUUCUUGUUGUCUCCUCUCCCACAGUUGAGUCCCUAACCUGUAACACCUGUGAUCUGUCCGUUCUCGGCUCCUGCUUCUUCGAUUCUCCAGUAAAUUGCAACAAAAAUCAGACCAGAUGCUAUAUCGCAGUUGCCAAUAUUCAAGGCCUGUUGAAUGUUCACGCACGAGGCUGCACGGUAGAAUCCGACUGCAAAAACCAGACGGGCCUGUCCAUCCUGACUUAUAAGUACAACAUCACCAGGAGCUGCUGCAGCACCAACCUGUGUAACGGAGCUGCCUCCAUCCAGCUGCCUCUGACUGCGGCUCUCGGUGCUGCUCUGGUGGCACUUUGGAGCCAAUGGGGCCUUUAAAGAAGGAAGAGGAGGACGAGAACGGGUUGCUAUAUACAUAGUUUAAUUGUUGUUGUCUUUAAUUGCUUUAAAUAACAUUUGUAGUACGUCAGUGACCCCAUGUUACUCAUUAUAUGACUUGUAUGAGCAACUUAUGUAUCAGGGUUUGAUAUCUUGACUUUCCUUUGCAUUUUAACACCUCAUUACUCUAAUAAUGUUUUUCAAAACCUUUAAGACAUCCAUCAGCCCACAGUGUAUUUUGUUUGGAGUCAUUCAGUAAUAAAAGGCAACUAAAUCCUAAUGCGGAUUAUUGCUAAAAUAAAUUGUGUAUUAUAUAAUUAUUUCCAUUAUUUCCACCUUGGAGUUGAGAUUUCUUGUCAUACUUUUUACUUUUUUCAACAUCCAGUUUCAUUGGUUAUUACAUAAUACGCCAUAUUAUUACAUUUUCAACAUAAAAAAGUGCAACUCUUUUGCAACAACUUUUUUGUAAUAACCACCACAACAGACAAAAAGUACCUGUAUCUGGAAAGAUCCAGUGGUGUCCAUGUUAGAUCUGUACAUCAUAUCAUAUUUUAUAAAAAUAGAUCCAUGUCUGUAUUGUGUGGCUAUAUGUAUUAAUUCAAUUCAGUUACAUUUUGUUUGUAUGUAUGUAUGAAAUUAAUUACAUCAAAAACACAAAGUCAGUUUUUUAGGAUUAAAUAAGAUUCUUGAUUAAGCUGAUUUUACUUGCAAUUCUAAGUGGCACUAACUUAGUUUUGUAAGUUAAAGAAACAUGCCUCAUUAAUAACAUUUUAUUAGUAUUAUUUUUUUGUUUUCAAAGCACAAAUAAACUUACAAAACUUAGUUUUACUUGUUGUUUGAGUUAUAUGAACUCAUCUGGUUUUACAGUGUACUAGUAAAAAUGACUAAUAAUGAUGACAAUGACAAUAGCCACAACGAUGGGGAAUGAUGAUGAUGAUAAUAUUACUAAUAAUAACAAUAAUACAUGAUGAGGUGAACAUGUAUUACAUUUUGUUAAGUUAUUACAUAAUGAGGUUUAAGGUCACCAGCAGGAAUCAAACCAGCGAAGGUUGUGACCUUGUGGCCACACUGUGACCGUUCAGCUACCAAUCUGCUUCAUAUUGUCAUACUUCCCUAAAGUAAAGAAUAAACA